rnacentral:misc_RNA from 1 species
ACGUAUCUCUGACGGCGAGGGUGGGCCCUGCUCCGGACCGAAAGGCCGUGCAGCGGGCCCGCCCGACCCGCUCAACCUUUGCAAACCCCACUGUGCACUUUUGUCGGCAAAGGGCCCCCGUGGCCCCGAGCCGGAUCACAAACGCUUACUUUACGAGAACGAUGCGUGGCCGCUGCGCCGCCCAAACUUUAA